rnacentral:rRNA from 1 species
GGAAUUUUGCGCAAUGGGCGAAAGCCUGACGCAGCAACGCCGCGUGAGGGAUGAAGGUUCUCGGAUCGUAAACCUCUGUCAAGUGGGAAGAAUCCUGACGGUACCACUGAAGGAAGCCCCGGCUAACUCCGUGCGAGCAGCCGCGGUAAUACGGAGGGGGCGCGCGUUGGUCGGAAUCAUUGGGCGUAAAGCGUAUGUAGGCGGCCAGAGAAGUCGGGCGUGCAAGCCCGCGGCUCAACCGCGGAAUUGCGUUCGAAACUAUCUGGCUUGAGUGCAGGAGAGGAAAGCGGAAUUCCCAGUGUAGCGGUGAAAUGCGUUGAUAUUGGGAAGAACACCGGUGGCGAAGGCGGCUUUCUGGCCUGCAACUGACGCUGAGAUACGAAAGCCAGGGGAGCG